rnacentral:lncRNA from 1 species
AAAUAAAAAUAUGAUAAAUCUAGUAAGAAUUUAACUAAAGUAAUGAAGUUAAUAAAAAAAAAAAAAAAAAAAAAACAAAUAUGUUAAUGAUCACUUUGUAGCUAAUAUUCCGUUCGAAAACUAGUCUUCCCUUUUCAUUUACGAAAUCAGCAUCGUGAUUCUGUUGCUGAUACAAACAAUUUAAAAUGGCUUAGUCCUCCGGGUGUCAAAACACAAUUGCCACGUCUUAUAUGCCUCCUUACCCUGACAUCUUUUCUGAAGAUUCCAAAAUAACUGAUGAAAUAAAAUAUGACAUUCUUAAGAGACCAUGGACAUCAAUUUAUUCUUAUGAAACUGAACAUGUAUCUACCUUUCGUCGAUCAUUUGAUAGCAGAGUUGAAUACAAGACUUCUAACAGUAGAGCCACGUUAUGUCGCACAAAAGAUAAUCCCAAAAAACAUUGACCAACUUACUUUAGCUGUUGGGGACAUAAUCUUUAAUGAAAUGCAGAUGAUGGCAUGCCCAUGUUACAAAAGACGAAUUUCAAGAUCGAAAUUCGGAGAUGGUUAACAAAAUGGACUGGAUAUUUUGAUAACAUUCCUAACAAGCUGCAGGAAACAUUAAAUGUUAUAAACCAAGGAUACCCGGAAU